AGAGCAAGUCUGGUGAUCGCUCUGCGUCUCAAAGGCAUUUUCCGUUUUAGCGAUGAUAUUGAGACGCGGAGAGGAAAGUCCGAGCUUCUCAGGGCAGCGUAGCGGGUAAUACCCGCCUCCGUUAUCGCAGCGGAAGGAUUAGAGCCACAGAGACGAGCGUAGGGCGAAGGCCUUACGGUGAAACGAGGCAAUCUCUACGCGAAGCAAGGCCAAAUAGAUUCUACCUGCUAUGUGAUAUCAUGGCUAAGGGGGCCCUGACCAGGUCUUCGUUUGAAGGGGUAGAACGGGUAGGCCGCUUGAUCUGUCAAAGCAAUUUGGCAGACGAGAGAGAUGAUCACAUCCGUUAUAGCGGAAACAGAACUCGGCUUAUGACUUGCUCUCUUU
rnacentral:RNase_P_RNA from 1 species